rnacentral:rRNA from 1 species
UCCAGACUCCUACGGGAGGCAGCAGUGGGGAAUAUUGGGCAAUGGGCGCAAGCCUGACCCAGCAACGCCGCGUGAAGGAAGAAGGCUUUCGGGUUGUAAACUUCUUUUCUGAGGGACGAAGCAAGUGACGGUACCUUAGGAAUAAGCCACGGCUAACUACGUGCCAGCAGCCGCGGUAAUACGUAGGUGGCAAGCGUUAUCCGGAUUUAUUGGGUUUAAAGGGUGCGUAGGCGGGCUGUUAAGUCAGCGGUCAAAUGUCGGGGCUCACCCCGGGCCUGCCGUUGAAACUGGCGGCCUCGAGUGGGCGAGAAGUAUGCGGAAUGCGUGGUGUAGCGGUGAAAUGCAUAGAUAUCACGCAGAACUCCGAUUGCGGAGGCAGCAUACCGGCGCCCGACUGACGCUGAGGCACGAAAGCGUGGGUAUCGAACAGGAUUAGAUACCCUCGUA